AGGACGAACGCUGGCGGCGUGCUUCAUACAUGCAAGUCGAACGAUAAGGUCCUUCGGGAAUACAUAAGUGGCAGACGGGUGAGUAAUAUGUAGAGAAUCUGCCUUCAAGCGGGGGACAACAGAGGGAAACUUCUGCUAAUACCCCAUAUGAGCGUACCUGUGAUGGUAUUCUUGAAAGCUCCGGCGCUUGGAGAUGAGUCUGCAUCUGAUUAGCUAGUUGGGGGUGUAAUGGACCACCAAGGCGACGAUCAGUAGCUGGUUUGAGAGGAUGAUCAGCCACAAUGGGACUGAGACACGGCCCAUACUCCUACGGGAGGCAGCAGUAGGGAAUUUUGCGCAAUGGGCGAAAGCCUGACGCAGCCAACGCCGCGUGAUCGCAGACGGCCUUCGGGUUGUAAAGAUCUGUCAGUAGGGACGAACAAUGACUGUACCUACAGAGGAAGCACCGGCUAACUCCGUGCCAGCAGCCGC
rnacentral:rRNA from 1 species